AUCCCAGUUCCAUUCACAGUUUACCCCAGUCCCUCCCAGUUUACCCAGUCCCAUUCCCAGUGCUCCCAGUCCCUCCCAGUUUACCCAGUUCCAUUCCCAGUCCCUCCCAGUAUCCCCAGUAUCCAUUCCCAGUCCCUCCCAGUUUAUCCCAGUCCAUCUCAGUUUACCCAGUUCCAUUCCCAGUCCAUCCCAGUAUCCCCAGUUCCAUUCCCAGUCCCAGUCCUCCCGGUCCCUCCCAGUUUCCCCAGUUUAUCCCAGUUCCAUUCCCAGUCCCUCCCAGUUCACCCAGUUCCAUUCCCAGUUGCUGGCUGUCCAUUCCCAGUAUCCCCAGUCCCUCCCAGUUUACCCAGUUCCAUUCCCAGUCCCUCCCAGUUUACCCAGUUCCAUUCCCAGUUUAUCCCAGUCCCUCCCAGUCCCUCCCAGUUCACCCAGUAUCCAUUCCCAGUCCCUCCCAGUCCCUCCCAGUCCCUCCCAGUCCCUCCCAGUUUACCCAGUUCCAUUCCCAGUUGCUGGCUGUCCAUUCCCAGUCCCUCCCAGUUUACCCAGUAUCCAUUCCCAGUCCCUCCCAGUUCACCCAGUAUCCAUUCCCAGUUGCUGGCUGUCCCUCAAGCGCGGUUUCCGCUGGAGCUUCCAGGGCCCCGUGAUCGCCAUCACUGCCGUGAGUGACACCUCAGUGUCACACCUGUGCCACCUGUGUGUCACCUGUGUCACCUCACCUGUGCCACCUGUGUGUCACCUGUGUGUCACCUGUGCCACCUGUGUGUCACCCAUGUGUCACCUGUGUGUCACCUGUGUGUCACCUGUGCCACCUGUGUGUCACCCAUGUGUCACCCAUGUGUCACCUGUGUGUCACCUGUGUCACCUGUGUCACUGUGUGUCACCUGUGUCACCUAUGUGUCACCUGUGUCACUCUGUGUGUCACCUGUGUGCCACCUGUGUGUCACCUGUGUCACCCUGAAACCUCACCUGUGUCACCUGGGUGUCACCUGUGUCACCUCAGUGUCACCGUAAUGUCACUCCUCUGUCCCCAAUGUCCCCUCAGUGUCCCCAGUGUUCCCAAUCCCCCUCCAUCCCCCCACUGUCCCCAUCAUUGUCCCCAGUGUCCCCAANNNNNNNNNNNNNNNNNNNN
rnacentral:lncRNA from 1 species